GAAGUCAUGCUUCGUAAAUAAAUGCCUGGAAGGCACCGCGCUCCCAUAGGGGAAAAGAAAAGGCGACUCAACGAAAGUCGCCUUUUUUUGUGCCC
rfam:Salmonella enterica subsp. enterica serovar Newport str. S09097 S_Newport_S09097_mira454_c170, whole genome shotgun sequence.